rnacentral:tRNA from 1 species
GGUUAUAACUCAGUGCUAGAGCACUUGCUUAUUAUGUAUAAGGUCCUGGGUUCAAUUCCCAGCACCA